rnacentral:rRNA from 1 species
UACAGAGGGGGCAAGCGUUGUUCGGAAUUACUGGACGUAAAGGGCGCGUAGGCGGCCUUCUAAGUCGAACGUGAAAUCCCCGGGCUCAACCCGGGAACUGCGUCCGAUACUGGAAGGCUUGAAUCCGGGAGAGGGAUGCGGAAUUCCAGGUGUAGCGGUGAAAUGCGUAGAUAUCUGGAGGAACACCGGUGGCGAAGGCGGCGUUCUGGACUGCAACUGACACUGAUGAACGAAAGCCAGGGGAGCAAACGGG